UGCAUUCUCUUGCGGUAGUUCUCUGACUCCACCUUUUCCACAUGAGAGGACUUCAGGGCAGCGGUGCGGUGCACGGUGCUGUACACAGCUCGAAACAACAUCCUGCAGAGGUGAACACACAAAAUCCAAAGUUCAAAGCAGGCCGCAGUGAAAUGGGACCAAGAAUGUGUGAGUUACUAUGGGGUGUAUGGUUAUGAGUUCAAUGUGUAUGUAUUAAUGUGUGUACCUGGGUAACAGAGCUGUGAAAGUAGUGACUGCACAUAUGAUGUAGAAGAGAGGCUGGGACAUCUGGAGUGUUUCGACCCCCAGAGGAUUAGUGGGGGGGCUGCAGGUCACACAGGACACACUGAAGAGCAGCACAAAGCCAAAGUAGGAGCCCCCACUGAGCAGCAGCACCAGACCGUGAAUCCAAGUCUGCAAAACAACACAGCGCAUCACCUCUCUGCACACCACGCGCUCCCAGCAGUUUGAAAAGCAGUGAUCUGAAACAGCGUUUAGUGCAACAGGGGGUCGGACCAGAGUGUGACUCUCGAGGACUUGGUGCAGCAGGAUGAUGAAGAGAGCGGAGGCGUUGAUCGGAGAGCCAAAGGACAGAAUCCCAACGUCUGACCCCGUCAGUGCCUGAGACAAAGGGGAGCACAGAAGAAGUAGAGGAUCAUGUUUGCCAGACGAGAGUAACACCAGUGACCGUGAACCAGAAGCAGCUUGCUGAGGUGUUUGAACCUGGAGAUGGCAAAGUCACUGGACAUCACAGCCUGGGGAGCGACACACAAAAGAGGACAUGGUUGAUACACAACAGGUGCUGAGAAGAUGGAAGGGUUAUCGACUGGUAGCUGCUGGUAGCUGCUACUGGCUCUGAGAUGGACUGUUUAUGAACCUGAUUGGUCAAACCAGAGGCGGAAAUCAGCUACAGAUUCUGAAUAUUCAAAAACAGAAUCCUCACCCACUGCCAGAGUCAUGACGCCAAGCUGGUCGCGGAUCAGCCGAACCACCUCGCUCUUCUGCAGCGGAGUGGACCUGCAGCAGAGGACCGCCUUGCAUCUGCUGCUCAGCUCUAAGAAGUCCCUCUUCAGCUCCUCCUGAAGCGCCCAGUCCAGUGUCUGGCCGUCUAUAACCAGGAUGAAGCUGGACACGCUGCCAGAGGAGGAUUCCCCAUGAGCCCCGGCUGCAGGAGCUUCGGUCAAACCGUCCUGUCCACACUGCACCUCUAGUUUGAGCUCCUUGAGAAAAG